ensembl:snRNA U1 U1 spliceosomal RNA
AUACUUACCUGGCAGGGGCGAUACCAUGAUCACGAAGGUGGCUCACGCAGGGCGAGGCUCUGCCGUUGCACUUUGGUGGUGCUGACCCUUGCGAAUUCCACAAAUGCGGGAAUCUGGACUGCAUGAUUUCUGGUAGUGGGGGACUGCGUUCGCGCACAG